GUGGAGUGCAAGGAGAAGCAGGUGUACGAAUUGCCCCUUGGGAAAGAAUGACAUUGACAUGAUUAGUGGACUUGGGCUCAUUCCUCAAGCGUGCAUUUGAUAUCCUUACACUUCUCAGGGACAUGAUCAGUGGACUUCGGCUCAUUCCUCAAGCGUGCUUUUGAUAUCCUUACACUUCUCAGGGGCAGUUGCCUUGGGAGGCCCACCGCCUGCUGGCACGACAGAUGAUCGAUUCUUCUGAGCAGCAGCGUCCCCAUGGAGUGGUGGAGUCAGUGUGGCCUGGCAUCUGUGGUGCACCACGUGCUGGCAGGUGGCUCAGAACGGAGCAGUCGUCGUGACAGGUCCUUCACUUGCUGGCAAGGAAGUUGAUCGAGUCUUCUGACGAACGGAGGCUGUGCUGAGUACUUGAUGUGGUGUGGCCUGACAUCUGCAGUGGACCCUGUGCUGGCUCAGGACGGGGCACUUGCCAUGAGGGCCUGCAGUCUGCUGGCAAGGAAUAUAGUCGAUUUUUUCCAGCAGUGAAGGCCCCACGGAGUCCUGGAUUUGAUAUGACCUGCCAUCCACAGUGCAUCCCGUGCUGGUGGAAGCUCAAUAUGGUAAGCAUUCCUCUGCCCCUCAUGAUGCGUGAGAGUGUCAUUUGGGC
rnacentral:lncRNA from 1 species